rnacentral:rRNA from 1 species
AACGAACGCUGGCGGCGUGCCUAACACAUGCAAGUCGAGCGAGAAAGCCCGCAAGGGUGAGUACAGCGGCGCACGGGUGCGUAACACGUGGGUAAUCUGCCCUGAAGCCCGGAAUAACCUCCCGAAAGGGAAGCUAAUACCGGAUGAGACCACGGGAGCCUCGGCCCCUGCGGGAAAAGGUGGCCUCUGCAUGCAAGCUAUCACUUCAGGAUGAGCCCGCGGCCCAUGAGCUCGUUGGCGGGGUAACGGCCCACCAAGGCUACGACGGGUAGCUGGUCUGAGAGGACGAUACGCCACACUGGAACUGAGACACGGUCCAGACUCCUACGGGAGGCAGCAGUGGGGAAUCUUGCGCAAUGGGCGAAAGCCUGACGCAGCAACGCCGCGUGUGUGAUGAAGGUCUUCGGAUCGUAAAGCACUGUCGGGAGGGACGAAUAAGGGCCAGGUGAACAAUCUGGUCCGAUGACGGUACCUCUAAAGGAAGCACCGGCUAACUCUGUGCCAGCCGCCGCGGUAACAC